AACAUCGCGCACCUGCGGGAACCUGCGGAGGGAUCAUUACCACACCCAACAAAAUAAACUGAUGGCUCUGUCUCGGCAGGCCUGAUGUUUGACCCGCGGAACUUUCGCAGUAGUUAGUCUUGGGGCUGAUACGUGUGCUUCUGGUCUUCGGAUUGGUCAAGCCGUUGAGGUCUUCUUGGCUGCUCUGCAAAACUUUUUAUACCGCUGUAACAGGCGUAUAAAAUUUUAUGUAUAUGUAAA
rnacentral:misc_RNA from 1 species